CUACGGGGCGCAGCAGGCGCGAAACCUUUACACUGCACGACAGUGCGAUAGGGGGACUCCGAGUGCGAGGGCAUAGAGCCCUCGCUUUUGUACACCGUAAGGUGGUGUACGAAUAAGAACUGGGCAAGACCGGUGCCAGCCGCCGCGGUAAUACCGGCAGUUCGAGUGAUGGCCGAUCUUAUUGGGCCUAAAGCGUUCGUAGCUGGCCAGUCAAGUCUGUCGGGAAACCUGCCCGCUCAACGGGCAGCCGUCCGGCGGAAACUGAUUGGCUUGGGACCGGGAGACUCGAGGAGUACGUCCGGGGUAGGAGUGAAAUCCUGUAAUCCUGGACGGACUACCGAUGGCGAAAGCACCUCGAGAGAACGGAUCCGACAGUGAGGGACGAAAGCUGGGGUCUCGAACCGGAUUAAAUACCCGGGUAGUCCCAGCCGUAAACGAUGCCCGCUAGGUGUGGCACAGGCUACGAGCCUGUGCUAUGCCGCAGUGAAGACCCAAGCGGGCCGCCUGGGAAGUACGUCUGCAAGGAUGAAACUUAAAGGAAUUGGCGGGGGAGCACUACAACCGGAGGAGCCUGCGGUUUAAUUGGAGUCAACGCCGG
rnacentral:rRNA from 1 species